UACGUAGGGGUGCAAGCGUUAAUCGGAAUUACUGGGCGUAAAGCGUGCGCAGGCGGUUUUGUAAGUCUGUCGUGAAAUCCCCGGGCUCAACCUGGGAAUUGCGAUGGAGACUGCAAGGCUAGAAUCUGGCAGAGGGGGGUAGAAUUCCACGUGUAGCAGUGAAAAUGCGUAGAGAUGUGGAGGAACACCGAUGGCGAAGGCAGCCCCCUGGGUCAAGAUUGACGCUCAUGCACGAAAGGCGUGGGGAGCAAACAG
rnacentral:rRNA from 1 species